rnacentral:rRNA from 1 species
GUGUCAGCCGCCGCGGUAAGACGAAGGAUCCAAGCGUUAUCCGGAUUUAUUGGGUUUAAAGGGUGCGUAGGCGGACUUGUAAGUCAGUGGUGAAAGCCCGAUGCUUAACAUCGGAACUGCCAUUGAUACUGCAAGUCUUGAAUAUGUUUGAAGUGGGCGGAAUGUGUCGUGUAGCGGUGAAAUGCUUAGAUAUGACACAGAACACCGAUUGCGAAGGCAGCUCACUAAACCAUUAUUGACGCUGAGGCACGAAAGCGUGGGGAGCAAACAGGAUUAGAUACCCGGGUAGUCC